CGACCCAAACUGGCCCUAAUCCUCUGCCGAAAUUCGCGCCCUCCAGACCUUCUUAUCUAGGGUCAUGUCCUCGGUGAGCUGUAACUGUUCCAUGUCCCUCCUAAUCACCUCACCCCAGUACUUCUUCGGCCUACCCCUACCCCGCCUAAAACCAUCCAACGCUAGCCUCUCGCACCUACGGACCGGGGCAUCCAUGCCCCUCCUCUUCACGUGUCCGAACCAUCUCAAUCGUGCUUCCCGCAUCUUGCACUCCAUUGAAGUCACACCAACCUUCUCCCGGAUAGUCUCAUUCCGAACUCUAUCCCCUCUAGUCAGUCCACACAUCCAGCGCAACAUCCGCAUUUCUGCCACCUUCAUUUUUUGGAUGUGGGAGUUUUUAACUGGCCAACACUCCUCUCCAUA
rnacentral:lncRNA from 1 species